UACGGAGGAUCCGAGCGUUAUCCGGAUUUAUUGGGCGUAAAGGGAGCGCAGGCGGUGACUUAAGUCUGAUGUGAAAGCCCACGGCUCAACCGUGGAAGGUCAUUGGAAACUGGGUCACUUGAAUAUAGAAGAGGAAAGUGGAAUUCCAUGUGUAGCGGUGAAAUGCGUAGAGAUAUGGAGGAACACCAGUGGCGAAGGCGACUUGCUGGGCAGCAACUGACGCUGAGGCGCGAAGGCCAGGGGAGCAAACGGGAUUAGAUA
rnacentral:rRNA from 1 species